AUCAGAUUAAAGUUCAAUUAAUGACAAUAAACCAGAUUAAAACCAAGUGGAAAUUAAAAAGGGAUUAGGGUUAUGUACGUGAAUUGAAGCCAUUCACGUUCUGAAGCUUCUUUUCCCGAGCAAACAUGGCGGCGGCGGUAUUCAAGUUCUUUUCUCCGCUCUCUCACCGAUUCAAAGUUCGGCCACCACACUCAAAAGAUCUCUCUCACUCGCCUUCCUCUUAUCUCAAUGAGCAACAAAACGAGCAUAGAUCGGAGUAGAAGGUAGGUCGAAAAGUGGACUCCCUUUCCGGAGCAAUUCCGGUGGUUCUUCGAGUCCGAUGAAGGUGAUAAGAGAGCCAGCGAAGAUCUUCUCGAACGUUGAUGAUGAAUAUUGAGGAUUAGAGUUAUCGCCCCUGCGCUGAAUUGCAGAUGGAUGAACGAAGGUUAUUGGCGAUGCGAAGUCGAAGUGGAUGAUGAAGAUGAUUGAAGCGACCGUAAUUAUUGAAGUGGAGCAGAUUGUUGAAUUUAGUCGAAGAUUGCUGCAAAUCGAUGAAGAUAGUGAGAGCAUUCAAGAGAGGCUCGAUGAUGAACUCCGAUUGAAAAUGGCGAGGAUCAAGAUUUAGAGCAAGAGAUUUCUGUUAUGAGAUGAUGAAUUGAUGAAGAGUGGUUCUGCGAUGAUGAAGACUCCAGAAGAAGAUUGAGCAAGAGCAAAAGUUUGUUACGGAUUCGAUCGAUGAUGGUCAUUCAAUGGUGGAGCGAUGAAGUUUAUGAAUGGUGAAGUUUUCUGUUAUGAGGUGAAGAUUGAAUCAAGAGAGGUUUUUGGUGGUUGUUCGAAGAUGAGAGGAAGAUUGAAGAAUGAAUGGAGAGAAGAAGAUGAAGAUUCGGUUACAGGUCUUUUUUUCUUUUUCCUUUUCUCUUCUUUUUUUUUUGCCUCUUCUGUUAUCGAUUCUUUUUUUGUUAUAAUGUCAAUCUCGUUUUUUCUGAGCUUUUUCUUCCGUCGCAGAACGUGUCCGUGAAUUGUGCAGGGAUCAGUUUUGUUUGAUAUCUAACCGGGUUUUUUAUGGUUUUGACGCCGCGGUUUUUGUUAUGAAAACUCUUCUUUUGUUAUGAAUCGAUGCUGUGCAUUUGGUUAGAGUUUUGUGAACCGGUUUUCAGUCCUUCCUUCAAUGCAAGUCCGGUUCUGGUUUGAUUGUGACCAAGGAGUUUUAUGCUUCCGUAUGGUUCUCAAAGGUGUGGACGUAAAUAGCCCUGGAUGCAGCACUUCAGCUAUAGAGAGAAGAAUCAGUUAUAUGAAAUAGAACGAGGGAUUGGAAGGUGAUCAUCACAGCAAUGGAUUCCGCAGCAGACCCAAUUUCCCUCUUCAGCUUUUAGAAGAAAUAAAAUCCAUCCUUUUAUUUUGUCUUGUCCAUGAUGUAAAGUUCUUUGGUUAAGCUCUUUUGUAAUUUUGCAUAUUUGGAUUGAAAUUUGGUGAUGAAUUUUGUAAUGAGUUUGGACUCUUCUUUAAUUUGGAUGGUGAUGGACUUUUGAAUGUAAUUUGGAUAACAUAACUUUUAAAUUUCUUUCCCACCAAAUGCAUUUCAAUUUGAGUUUUUAAGUUCCAUGUUCAAAUUGUACCAACACUCGUAAUACAAACCAACCAAUGAACGAACGCUUCUGAAAUCUUGAUAACAAAGAAAUAUGACUGGAACACAUAAUUUGGACUUUGAACCAUGAUGAACGCCUUAAGCUUGAGAUGAUUCAUACACUCCACAUAAACUCGAAUUAAGUCUUGGUGCAACAUCUCCAGAAUCAUGACUUGCAUCACACUCACUCAAUUAAACCGAACUGCCUUGCAAGAACGAGAACUUUUCAUUAUUUUCCUUUUGAUUUUCGAACGACGAAAUAAACGCCAUUCAUAACUUAUAGCACAGAAAAAGAGGGCAAAUUUUGGG